rnacentral:lncRNA from 1 species
UUCACAUCUAUAAGAUGAAUAAGUGCUUAUUGACUCUUUUCUACUUAUUUAUAAAUAUUUUUCAAUCCCGACCUAAUGGAUUAACAAAAGAAAAAACAUGGUAACUAUGCACAAAUGCACAAUAAUCUAUUAUCUUAAUUAAAUAAUUUCUCUAGGUCUUAUUUCCUAAUUUCCAUAUGCUUGGUCCUCAUGAUAUAUCUUCAAUCCCAAAAUAUAAUAUAAUAUAAAUUAAUGGUGGUAAUAGAGUUUGGUGAUUUCUCUAUAGAGACUUGCUUGCUAUUUAGUGCAAAUAGAAAACAGAUGAUAUCCCCGUGAGCUUAGCUCAGUUGGUAGGGAUAUUGCAUAUUAUAUGCAGGAGCCGGGGUUCGAACCCCGGACACUCCACUUCUCCACAAUUAAAUUGUGUGAGUUCUAGCCACUAGGCUACUUCACCAAAAAAAAAAGAAAACAGAUGAUGAAACUUGGGACAUGCCGGCAAUAAUUGCUUUUUACAUUUUAAAAAUAAUUAAUAAUUACUACCUCUUUUUUUAAUUAUAAGAUUCUUUAAAAACAAAAUUGAUUUAAAAAUAAUUAAAUAAUGUGGAACUUCUGAGUCACCUUACAUCUGUCACAACGAUCUUCUCUGUAAGUAUGAGUCUUUUCAAUCAUUAUACUUCACUUUAAGCAGAAGCUUUUUUCUUCCAUAUACACUUUCUUGCACUAUCGUCGACCGCAUUAAUCUCACACUUACCACACCACUAUUUUAGUUAUUUUAUUCAGUCAAUUACCAAAAAUAUUAUUUAUAAUUAUAUUAUAAUAUAUGAAAGAAAAUGCACUAUUGUAUUACUACAUACCUUAUUUUCAAAAUUAUAAUUAUGUGAUAAAAUCCAAUCUUCAUCUUUUUUUUUUUAUUGAUUAUUUUUUUGAACGACAAAUAUAUAUUGAAAAAGAAUUUUGGAAAAUAGUACAAGAGGUACUUCUCCCACAUUUUGGAACCUAGUACGAACAGUACUAAAUCUACAACAGAAACAAAUCAGAAUCAACUAGCUUGUUUGAUAUAUAGUGGCUAAACUUUAAGAUUAUAUGCUAACAAGUAUCUUGCUGCAGGGUGCUUCAGUUUGUCAUUCCUAUUGUUCUUGGAUGCAGGAAUCAAAAUAAUGAAAAUGGGAUUUUAUAGAGAGUACAUUAUUCAUUGCAUGAAAACUUAUAAUCUUUUUUUAAAUGUAAAUCUUAUUUCAAAAGUUUGUACGAGAGGUACUUUUUUUACUCCAAAAUUUGAAUUUUUUGGGGUGUUUGACACUGUUCC